rnacentral:sRNA from 1 species
GGGUAAGUCCUUGGCUGACAUUCUGUGUGUUACUCCAACAGCUUACCCAGACAAAACUGUUAUGUUGUAUUAUGUAAGAAUAAAUUGCCUGACUAUUWCUAAAGGUUUUCCUUUACUGAGUUUUGUCUUACACGAGGUCAAAAAUGGUAUUACUAAAAAUACCAUCAUAUGGUGACCCGCCGACUGUGAUUCAUUUUUUUCCAGUCAAUUUUUUUCAGGCAAUGGAGGGCUCCAGGCUGUGGCCAUUGGAGUGUACCCGAGGAAGCUUUGUUCUCGGAUGUCGAUAGUUUACCCGUGGAUAUUUUCUUUUCCAGGACGGUUUCCCCGUAAAGCUUUACUUUAACGGAUGGAUACACGCGCGUAAGUACCCCCCUGGGUGGGGUAUAUAUGUUUUUCUAACUUCUUCUUUUUGCCUCUUGUUUUGUUAAUUGUUGUGUUAAUCAGCUGAAAUUAUCUGCCAUUCAUGAUAGGAAUCCGCAGUUUCCUUCCUGUUUUUGUAUUUUGUACGUCUGUUAUUCCUUAUCAUGAAGUGUAGUCUAAAACAUCUUGAAAUAGAAAUUACACGUGUACUGUAUGUUGUUUGAUGAAUGCAAAAGGAUCCAUGAAUGUUGAAUGUUUGCCUAGCAGGCCAGAAAUACGGAAAACUAGGUUUUCUGAAGGAAAUUCUGUAGAGUGUGAAGUGUDAAUCACUUUCCUGUCCGUUUGAAUUGUCUGAUGAGGAAUUUUUCUGCGGUUCCUGUUUAUCAGGCCAGAAAUACGGAAAACKAGGUUUUCUGAAGGNAAAUUCUGUAGAGUGUGGAAGUGURAWYCACUUUCCCUGUCCGUUKRAWUUGUCAGAUGAAAAACGAGAGCCCUACAAACAUUUAGGUGUUGUCUGCAACUUCAAACCUAUUUUCUCCCUUUCCACUCAAUUGUAAGCCUGUUCUAAAUUACAGAGAAAAGUAUAACAUCAUUUUUUCCUGCAGGUGACUCCAGUUUAUAUGUAUGUUUGUUUGCCCUGUUUGUUUUAUAAACCAAUGUUAAUAGCUCGCUGCUAAGCUUUUUUGCAUCCUACAGGUCUGUUAGAGCAUAUUUUGAAUGUAAUACUUGUGUGUAUGUUAGAAAGAAAAGGACUYGACUUGACUUGACUUGACGGUUAUAUGACUUUGAUGUGUCUGUAAUGAAUAUGUUUACCUUACUGUUUUUGGUUCUCUUUAAUGUUUAUAUGUUUUCRUAGGUACCUCUUGUAAUAUAAUAUUUGUUCUAUGGGUCUAUCACUAAAAUAUUGUCAUUUUGUCUUUAACUAUCAUGUCACUAUUCGUAUCUUAUCCUAACAUUGUCUUCUUUGUUAUUAUUCUCAUAGUAACAUUAGUUCUCUUGUGUAUUUCUGUUUGUGAAUGGGUUACUCGUGAAUAAGGUUAAUUCACUCCACUUGUCUUUCUUGUGUUAACAGAAAUAUUAGUGUUGUCUCUUUAAAUGUUCUCUGUUAUAGUUUUUUGUCUCAAACUAACCUUACUUCUCUUUUUUAUCUUUAUGUGUCAGAUUGAUAACUGUUUUCUAAGUGUAUUAUGUUUGAUUUGUGAUCUGAARAAAARAAAAAAWCAUGUUCCAUCAGUUUAGAAUAUSUAACAAUCCUCCUAGAUAUGCUAGUUGAGUGCMCAAAACAUUUUAAGUUUCAAAGCCUUUGUUAAGUGUCACAGUGGAGGGGACAAGACUGCGUUUUCCUGGCCAGAAGGCGAUAGUWUUCUUCCCUCAYAACUUGAAAUUCUACUGUGACAGAUAAAGGAUAAUUGUAAGAGAAAAUAUUUUAYUAUACWAAUUGCAUGCYAUUAGAUCUAGCAGGCUUAUGCCAACCAAUAGAAAGUGAUAUUUYUCACAUAUACUUCAGCUGAGACAUUACACCUAUGCUCUGCUCCUUGCUCAGCAAACUUAGAUCCAGUCCUUUAUAUGGAUACCCAGGAGCAAUUAAAUGCCAUUUAAAUGUGCCUAUUGGCAACCUUAGAGUGACACAGGGUUACACAAUCUCAGAACUUUUGGUUCCACAGACAGUGCAGCCCCCASWAWUAAUGAUGAUUUCUUAUUGAGCUAAUGGUUCAGAAUGUUGUUAAGCUUAUUAACYAGUAGUACUUCCCCUGAAUAUUCUGAAGAMAANASGUCCUGACRACCCAAAUAAAUCASSRUCAGUUGUUUCACACUGRAGUACUUAAUGGUGCAUUAGACUUACAGCACCCUUUAGAGGAAAUCUARUUCAUAGUCCAAUUAAUAACAAGAAGGAUUCUWUUUGCUGGUACKGUCAUAAAAACUACAUUUCCCAGAAUCCUCCGUUGCACAAUAUUUCAGAURCUCACWSUUYUSUMACUKYYUYKUAACUUCCUCUUGUCAGCUCGCUGGCUCAGGAACUUUUAACCACAGCACAUAUUUUUAACUUUACCAUUUCAUACUCAUCUGUAAUUUUUUUCUGUAUCUCCUGCAUCUGGAUCUUUUUCACCAACAUGAAGGUAAACUUGAUGCAGUUUGGAUCCAUACCCGAUUCACUCAUUGGUACAGGUUAAAUUAUUUUUAUUAUUCUCUAGACAGAUGUGAAUCUAUUAUUUCAUAUUAUUGUACUGCAUUUGCAGUACAACAAGAGGGGAGUAUUAUAUUGUGGGUUAUGUUGUUGUUACUAUUUUUUCUAAUUAAAUAAGUUUCAGUUAAUAAAAAUGCAGCUUAUGUGCUUGUGCCGCUGCUAAAAAAAAAAAAUUCUCCCGUAAUCAUUGCACUUGUGUAUCUUGCAUCACAAGUCUGCAAGUGUAAGAAAAUGCAGAAGUGACUUAAAUUUAUUGUUGAUUUUGUCUGAUAACCAGUAAUUUCACUACCAAAUUUGUAGAAAUAAAUGAUGCUACUAAAAUGGGUCUAUGUCAUUUUCAUUUAGGCCAAAAAAAAAAAAAAAAAAAAAAAAAAAAGAGGACUUGUUAAAUGUUUUUGCUGGUUAUGAUUAAUCAAUAUUAUUUUGUUAUAAGAAGGAAACNGUACNGGUUGUAUUUGAUAGUUUACAUAAUUAAAUUUUCGAUUUUGUUACAAAAUUGCAAAUAUCACUGAUNUUAAGNGGAGUUGUGCCUUUGUACCAUCCCACUUCCAACAACACAAUUACUGGCAGCAUUUGGUUGGAUUUAUUCCCAGCUGUCCUGUCAAUUUUCCGCAACAAUCCUAUCAGGUGUUGUGGACUUUCCCCAUUUGAAAAAAAAAAAAAAAAAAAAAAAAAAAA